rnacentral:rRNA from 1 species
AACGAACGCUGGCGGCAGGCCUAAUACAUGCAAGUCGAGCGCAGGAAGCCGUCUGAACCCUUCGGGGGGACGACGGUGGAAUGAGCGGCGGACGGGUGAGUAACACGUAAAGAACCUGCCCAUAGGUCUGGGAUAACCACGAGAAAUCGGGGCUAAUACCGGAUGUGUCAUCGGACCGCAUGGUCCGCUGAUGAAAGGCGCUCCGGCGUCGCCCAUGGAUGGCUUUGCGGUGCAUUAGCUAGUUGGUGGGGUAACGGCCCACCAAGGCAACGAUGCAUAGCCGACCUGAGAGGGUGAUCGGCCACACUGGGACUGAGACACGGCCCAGACUCCUACGGGAGGCAGCAGUAGGGAAUCUUCCACAAUGGACGAAAGUCUGAUGGAGCAACGCCGCGUGAACGAUGAAGGCUUUCGGGUCGUAAAGUUCUGUUGUAAGGGAAGAACAAGUGCCGCAGGCAAUGGCGGCACCUUGACGGUACCUUGCGAGAAAGCCACGGCUAACUACGUGCCAGCCGCCGCAGUAAUAC